rnacentral:rRNA from 1 species
AACGAACGCUGGCGGCAUGCCUAACACAUGCAAGUCGAACGAGAUCUUCGGGUCUAGUGGCGCACGGGUGCGUAACGCGUGGGAAUCUGCCCUUUGGUUCGGAAUAACAGUUGGAAACGACUGCUAAUACCGGAUGAUGACGAAAGUCCAAAGAUUUAUCGCCAGAGGAUGAGCCCGCGUAGGAUUAGCUAGUUGGUGGGGUAAAGGCGCACCAAGGCGACGAUCCUUAGCUGGUCUGAGAGGAUGAUCAGCCACGCUGGGACUGAGACACGGCCCAGACUCCUACGGGAGGCAGCAGUGGGGAAUAUUGGACAAUGGGCGAAAGCCUGAUCCAGCAAUGCCGCGUGUGUGAUGAAGGCCUUAGGGUUGUAAAGCUCUUUUACCCGGGAUGAUAAUGUCAGUACCGGGAGAAUAAGCUCCGGCUAACUCCGUGCCAGCAGCCGCCGCAG